GAGAGAGAGAGAGAGAGAGAGAGAGUAUAAAGGCGGGGGAGUCAGCUGGAGUCAUGGUAGAAUCUUCACACUGUCUUCGUCAUUCACGCAUCGUUAGUCAAGCAGCCAGACAGCCAAAGAGUCUCUCGGGGAAGGAGUCGAUCAGCAAGACUAAUUUUACCCAUCAUCAUACUGCGUCGCCUUUCUCUUGAAGCAAAAGUCAUCAUAAGGUGCAGCAUGAGGUCCCGAUGGCCUCUCAGGGGCGGGUUUCUUCUCAUCGCUCUGAUCGCCGCCACCGCCGCCGCCGCCAUUCACGGCCCUGUCCGGCCCCACCUUGAGGACACGGGUGACCCAGCCCUGACCCAGCCGGCAGCCGAAGGACCAGGGACGGGAGGCACACCCACAACCUCCACCACCACCACAACCAUGGACCUGUUGGACGAGUACUGCAACGAGGCGUGCCGGGCAGGCGUGGGAGGGCCGGAGUGUGGCUGCCCCAACCACCCCAUUGGCUAGUCUGUCCGUCCCUGCCUACCAUUAGCAACGCCGUGACACAGGGGGCAGUGAUGGGCCGCGGCGGCUCCGGGACCACCAAUGAGCGAUGAGGACGCACGAGCUGAGGCAGAUCCAGGAAGAGGUGAGGAGCGGGGCCAAAACAUUAAUUCCGAAGUUAAAAAAAAAAAAGAAUAUUUAGAAUCAAUAUAUCAUCCUAAAUCAUUAAACCGCUUUCCAUUUUUAAA